rnacentral:lncRNA from 1 species
GUCUCAGCUCGAGCAUUCCUAGCGCCAACACGCCCUCAGGUAAAGGUGGAAGUAAAUGGCCACGCUGUAUUGACAGAGGUAGAUGAAACUCAAGAGAAAAGGUGUGGAUAAAUGAAACUAGCCCAUGAUGAACCUGUUUUCUCCGUGACCACAAUAUUAACCAGGAUGAAUGGCGGUGGCAGUGGGCCUGCAUCACAGGUUGCAGCAGAUGUUCUCAAUAUUUCUAUUAAAAUUUCCUUAUUUCCAUAUGCAAGAGGAGCCCCAGAGCUGCAUCCUUAUGGUAGCUACCAUGCCGUGAUGUAAGCUGCCAUUCACUGGGGAGCUUUGGCAAUAGAAUUGGCUAGAUCAGGAAGCCUAUGUCAACUAUGGAACAACAACUUGCAGCUCAUCUCUAUUGAUGAUACACUGCCUCUAGGACUGGGACAGAUAGCCACUGAGUACCUGCUUCAAAUCACCCUGCACGUUUUCUCUUUGGAAAGAUAAGCACUGGAGAACCAUCUCGUUACCUUCAGCAGAAAUGGAAACAAAUCAAGACAUUAAGAAUGCCGCAGUGGACAGCAGUUAUGCAAGGUUCAGCAGAGGAAGUUUUCAAGAUGGUGUGCCUCACUAGCCAGAAAUCAGAAAAGAUCGAAGCUAGCCUUUUCAUCUCAGCUGCUCCUUAAAUCAGUGCAACCCCUCCAAAUUAAUGUGAAUUGAAACUUGCAUUGCUUUUCAACUUAAUUGAAUACUUACUAUAUGUGAACCACUGCACAAAAUAGGGGAAGAAGAUGUGGGAGACAAAGAUGUGGAGCCUGUCUUCAAUAAAUUUACAGUUAGUUUCAGGGUACAUUGUUUUUCUUCUGCUGUUAAUUAGGUGUAUCCCCAAGACAAUAAAUACAUGAAUGGAAAAGUAUAUUCUGUGUUUUAAGUCUCUUUAAUAAAAAACAAAACAAAAUCCAAAAAAACUCCUAACAUGGCAACUCAGGACAUUUUAAUCCUUUUUUUUGUUGUUGGGCUUCUGAUAGGAUCCAUUUUAUUGAUUCCAUAAAUAUUUAGUAGACUUUAGACAUAUUAAUACAUUGUAGUUUGAGUUAAUUUGCAUUAAAUUCUGUUUUUUUCCCCUUAGGUAUAGAUUGUCUGUUGGAAAAAUAUAUUGCUUGUGGAUUUCUUGGGGAGUGGGAAGGUGAAUUAUACCUGUUGUCUCUACAGUCCACUACCUUCCACACCCUAGGGCAGUGGUCCCCAACCUUCUUGGCACCAGGGAUCAGUUUCCUGGAAGACAAUUUUUCUGUGGAUGGUGUGGGGAUGGUUUUGGGAUGGAACUGUUCCACCUCAGAUCAUCAGGCAUUAGUUAGGCUCUCAUAACGAGUGCGCAGCCUAGAUCCCUCACAUGCACAGUUCACAGUAGGGUUUGCGCUGCUAUGAGAAUCUAAGGCUGCCACUGAUCUGACAGGAGGCAGAACUCAGGUGGCAAUGCUUACUGGCCCACUGCUCACCUCUUGCUGUGCGGCCUGGUUCCUAAUAGGCCAUGGACCCCCACAGACGGGUACUAGUCUGCAGCCUGUGGACCCCAGCCCUAGGGGCCUGCCAUUCUGAGUGAGUUAUUAGCAUGAAGAAGAGGAAGAUCUGGAUCAAACGUGGGUGAUGGUACUCAGAGACCCAAGAUAGGAUAGGGAUGGAACAAAAUCCAUCUGGGCAACGGCUCUAUGAAAAUUUGGCUAAGUAAUUAUUUCAGUAUUCAUUGUAUUCAUUGUCCUUCGUGUUCCAUAAGUUAAAUGACUGUCUAAUUUUUCCAAAAAUUUAUUUCUGACUUGAGAAUAAGUGUGUCAUGAUUUUCCCAGUGUAAAGACACUGAUAUAACUGUAGAUACCAGACAUUUUAUGUAGUGUCUAUGACACAUUUUAGUAUGUAUGAGCCAACAAUAGACAUGUCUUUGUCUUGAGGAGUGUCCAUCUGAAUUGAAAAUGUGUCAGCUUUUUUUUAACAUCAUCAACAGACUUCUUAAUUAAGCUGCCAAUACAUACUGCCAAUAGCACUGUGUGCUGUCUGAGAAAUGCAUUGUGUAAGUGCUAUUUCCAUCUUAUUAAAUAAACAAUGUUGCUCUGUAUAAACUGGAUUUAAAGUGUUCUUUGAAUGAGGCAUUAUAUUGCUCCAUAAAUAAUGUGAUGUGAAUUCUCAUAUGAUCCCUUUUAACUUAAUUUCUAAAAAAAUAUUAUUUGCUCCUCAGUAAGGAAUAGCUCUAAUUGGACUGGUAACUUUAGUGAUAUGAUUUGUCUGUAACAGGCUGAAUCGCCCCACUCCCAAACUCCUGGUCGUGAUACUGGAUAUUUGUUAUGCCACUUUUAGUUUGCAUGAGGUAUCUUCCAGGAAGUAUUAGUUAUUAACUUGUGUUCUACUAAACUGUAGAUAUUUAUUUCCUGUUCUGGAAGAUUUCUUGGAGUGUCCAUCUGUGCAUUCCUGGUGCCUAGUGUAGUCUUGCUAAUGGAAUAGCACCUUUAUUGGUGCUACUUAGGGGUUGGUAGCUUACAAUCAAUCUACUUGGAACGUAUCCAAAUAAACUGGAUAUUUUUAUACA